rnacentral:pre_miRNA from 1 species
UUGACUCUUCGUCUUAUUUGAAAUUUUUUUAUGAUUAAUAUUUUGUUGUUACUAUGUGAUAAAAUAUGAAUAGUACUUUACGUCUGACUAAUUUUUUUUAAUUUUUUAAUAAAAUCUUUAAAUAAGAUGAUAGUCAA